CUCUCUGUCCAGCGGGCCCCGCACCUAUCUCCUUCCUCCGGUCGGACCCACGCACAGCGCGCGCACAGGCCGAGCCGAGCCCGGAUCGAUCUACGCCCCUGUUCGAUCCCGUGCUCCUCAGGGACACCGUACGCGGGCAAGACUCCGCGAGGAACGCCGCACCCUUUCUCCCGAUUCUUUCGCUCGCCGCAUGCAGCUGCAGGGCGAAACCCGAUCUCGCGAGGCGCUCGAGCCGCCGCCGUCUUCGCCGGUCGUUUUCGCUGCCCGGGGCGAGCCGUCGGAGCAGCGGCUGUUCACGUCGUCACCGUCACCCGCAGAGCACGCCCCGUCAUCGUUUGACCUCACCACCGCGUCCGCAACUCGAAGCCACCUCCGCCCGUCACCUCACUUUCGCCGGAGACUCGCCGGAGAGCCACCGCCGCCGACGCUCGAAGCCACCGCCAUUUUUCCUCUGUUUCGAUUGUCCGGAGUGCGACGCGAGCUAUUGUCAGGAGUGUGACUUUCUGAACCAGAACCAAG